rnacentral:rRNA from 1 species
UUAUUUAGAUCUCAAAUCAGUCAGGAUUACCCGCUGAACUUAAGCAUAUCAAUAAGCGGAGGAAAAGAAACUAACAAGGAUUCCCCUAGUAGCGGCGAGCGAAGCGGGAAGAGCUCAAAUUUGUAAUCUGGCGCUUUCAGCGUCCGAGUUGUAAUCUCUAGAAAUGUUUUCCGCGUUGGACCGCACACAAGUCUGUUGGAAUACAGCGGCACAGUGGUGAGACCCCCGUUCAUGGUGCGGAUGCCCAAUGCUUUGUGAUACAUUUUCGAAGAGUCGAGUUGUUUGGGAAUGCAGCUCAAAUUGGGUGGUAAAUUCCAUCUAAAGCUAAAUAUUGGCGAGAGACCGAUAGCGAACAAGUACCGUGAGGGAAAGAUGAAAAGCACUUUGGAAAGAGAGUUAACAGUACGUGAAAUUGUUGGAAGGGAAACGCUUGAAGUCAGACUUGCUAUUCGGAGUUCAGCCGCAAGGUGUACUCUCCGAGUUGCAGGCCAGCAUCAGUUUUCUGGGGUGGAAAAUCACGGUUUGAAGGUAGCAGUUUCGGCUGUGUUAUAGCUUUCCGUUGGAUACAUCCUGGGGGACUGAGGAACGCAGUGUGCUUUUAGCGGGGGUUUCGACCUCUUCACACUUAGGAUGCUGGUGGAAUGGCUUUAAACGAC